rfam:Rhizobium sp. 58 contig16, whole genome shotgun sequence.
UGUCAAGAGUUUUGGCGCCGUUUUGGUGAGCUGAUUUCUAUUGCCUAACCGAAGGUGAGAGAAAUG